UAUAGCGGUCAAAGCGGCAGGGAAACACCUGUACCCAUUCCGAACACAGAAGUAAAGUCUGCCUACGUUUUGCAUUGUACUUAGGUACGCGAGUCCUCGGGAACUGCAGAAAGCUGCUAUGC
rnacentral:rRNA from 2 species